AAUAAAGUGCCUGAAAAAGGGUUAUCUUGAUAGGGUAAAUUAUAAAAGUAUUUUUCUUUAUUA
rnacentral:tRNA from 1 species